rnacentral:rRNA from 1 species
GACGAACGCUGGCGGCGUGCCUAAUACAUGCAAGUCGAGCGAGUCUGCCUUGAAGAUCGGAGUGCUUGCACUCUGUGAAACAAGAUACAGGCUAGCGGCGGACAGGUGAGUAACACGUGGGUAACCUGCCCAAGAGAUCGGGAUAACACCUGGAAACAGAUGCUAAUACCGGAUAACAACAGAUGAUGCCUAUCAACUGUUUAAAAGAUGGUUCUGCUAUCACUCUUGGAUGGACCUGCGGUGCAUUAGCUAGUUGGUAGGGUAACGGCCUACCAAGGCGAUGAUGCAUAGCCGAGUUGAGAGACUGAUCGGCCACAUUGGGACUGAGACACGGCCCAAACUCCUACGGGAGGCAGCAGUAGGGAAUCUUCCACAAUGGACGCAAGUCUGAUGGAGCAACGCCGCGUGAGUGAAGAAGGGUUUCGGCUCGUAAAGCUCUGUUGUUGGUGAAGAAGGACAGGGGUAGUAACUGACCUUUGUUUGACGGUAAUCAAUUAGAAAGUCACGGCUAACUACGUG